AUGCUAUGUGCUCAUAUUUUACAGCAGCCUCGUCCUCGAGGUCAUAGAGGUGAGAGACCACUGACUCCCAAAUGGCACAGUUCUCUGGAUAGUGCUUUCACACGUAAACGCAGCCUUAUUCUGCUGGAUGGAAACAACGCUGUGGAAAUCUAUAAAUCCAACAAGUCAAGCCAGCCAGCGAUCAGAGGACGGUUGAGUGAUUUGUACCUUCCUGCCAUCACAGGAACGAUGUCAAACCUACAGGCUGCAAGGGCCAGACUCAGUCACUCAUGUCCUUAUCUCAGCACCAGCAGACGCCGUGGCUCCACCUGCUCCAUCAACUCACAAAGAGCUCCUGACUUCAGCAAGCAGAGUUACCUCAAAGCACAGAAAGAGUCCAAGAAGUCAAAUGUAAUUGUGAGGAUGAUGUACCUGGGGCAGGUGCUUCCCGGCAGCACUCAGGAUGAGAUGAAAGUGCUUCAGCAGACCUGUGGAGGAGAAAACAUCUGCGUGUUUAAAGGAAUUGUCCAACCUGGAGGUAAAGCUCAUUAUUCUGUUACCAAACUGAAUACACUGCUUGAGAUCUUACGCCAAUAAUUUUUUAUAUAAUCUUUUUAUGAUAUAAUUUGUAUUUUAAACAAGAUUUUUUUUCUCAUCUCAAAUCUAAAGUCUGGCCACAUAAAACUAUAAAGU
ensembl:lncRNA